AUUAAUUUGAGAGUUUGAUCCUGGCUCAGGACGAACGCUGGCGGCGUGCCUAAUACAUGCAAGUCGAACGAACUCUGGUAUUGAUUGGUGCUUGCAUCAUGAUUUACAUUUGAGUGAGUGGCGAACUGGUGAGUAACACGUGGGAAACCUGCCCAGAAGCGGGGGAUAACACCUGGAAACAGAUGCUAAUACCGCAUAACAACUUGGACCGCAUGGUCCGAGCUUGAAAGAUGGCUUCGGCUAUCACUUCUGGAUGGUCCCGCGGCGUAUUAGCUAGAUGGUGAGGUAACGGCUCACCAUGGCAAUGAUACGUAGCCGACCUGAGAGGGUAAUCGGCCACAUUGGGACUGAGACACGGCCCAAACUCCUACGGGAGGCAGCAGUAGGGAAUCUUCCACAAUGGACGAAAGUCUGAUGGAGCAACGCCGCGUGAGUGAAGAAGGGUUUCGGCUCGUAAAACUCUGUUGUUAAAGAAGAACAUAUCUGAGAGUAACUGUUCAGGUAUUGACGGUAUUUAACCAGAAAGCCACGGCUAACUACGUGCCAGCAGCCGCGGUAAUACGUAGGUGGCAAGCGUUGUCCGGAUUUAUUGGGCGUAAAGCGAGCGCAGGCGGUUUUUUAAGUCUGAUGUGAAAGCCUUCGGCUCAACCGAAGAAGUGCAUCGGAAACUGGGAAACUUGAGUGCAGAAGAGGACAGUGGAACUCCAUGUGUAGCGGUGAAAUGCGUAGAUAUAUGGAAGAACACCAGUGGCGAAGGCGGCUGUCUGGUCUGUAACUGACGCUGAGGCUCGAAAGUAUGGGUAGCAAACAGGAUUAGAUACCCUGGUAGUCCAUACCGUAAACGAUGAAUGCUAAGUGUUGGAGGGUUUCCGCCCUUCAGUGCUGCAGCUAACGCAUUAAGCAUUCCGCCUGGGGAGUACGGCCGCAAGGCUGAAACUCAAAGGAAUUGACGGGGGCCCGCACAAGCGGUGGAGCAUGUGGUUUAAUUCGAAGCUACGCGAAGAACCUUACCAGGUCUUGACAUACUAUGCAAAUCUAAGAGAUUAGACGUUCCCUUCGGGGACAUGGAUACAGGUGGUGCAUGGUUGUCGUCAGCUCGUGUCGUGAGAUGUUGGGUUAAGUCCCGCAACGAGCGCAACCCUUAUUAUCAGUUGCCAGCAUUAAGUUGGGCACUCUGGUGAGACUGCCGGUGACAAACCGGAGGAAGGUGGGGAUGACGUCAAAUCAUCAUGCCCCUUAUGACCUGGGCUACACACGUGCUACAAUGGAUGGUACAACGAGUUGCGAACUCGCGAGAGUAAGCUAAUCUCUUAAAGCCAUUCUCAGUUCGGAUUGUAGGCUGCAACUCGCCUACAUGAAGUCGGAAUCGCUAGUAAUCGCGGAUCAGCAUGCCGCGGUGAAUACGUUCCCGGGCCUUGUACACACCGCCCGUCACACCAUGAGAGUUUGUAACACCCAAAGUCGGUGGGGUAACCUUUUAGGAACCAGCCGCCUAAGGUGGGACAGAUGAUUAGGGUGAAGUCGUAACAAGGUAGCCGUAGGAGAA
rnacentral:rRNA from 2 species